GGCAUGGCGCGUCUAUACAUGCAGUCGAGCGAAUGGAUUAAGAGCUUGCUCUUAUGAAGUUAGCGGCGGACGGGUGAGUAACACGUGGGUAACCUGCCCAUAAGACUGGGAUAACUCCGGGAAACCGGGGCUAAUACCGGAUAACAUUUUGAACUGCAUGGUUCGAAAUUGAAAGGCGGCUUCGGCUGUCACUUAUGGAUGGACCCGCGUCGCAUUAGCUAGUUGGUGAGGUAACGGAUCACCAAGGCAACCAUGCGCUAGAGCCGACCUGAGAGGGUGAUCGGCCAUCACUGGCACGGAGACACCGGCCCAGACUCCUACGAGAGCCAGUCAGUACGGAAUGCUACCGCAAUGGACGAAAGUCAGACGGAGCAACGCUCGCGUGACUGAUGAACGCUUUCGGGUCGUAAAACUUCUGUUGUUAGGGAAGAACAAGUGCUAGUUGAAUAAGCUGGCACCUUGACGGUACCUAACCAGAAAGCCACGGCUAACUACGUCCCAGCAGCCGCGGUAAUACGUAGGUGGCAAGCGUUAUCCGGAAUUAUUGGGCGUAAAGCGCGCGCAGGUGGUUUCUUAAGUCUGAUGUGAAAGCCCACGGCUCAACCGUGGAGGGUCAUUGGAAACUGGGAGACUUGAGUGCAGAAGAGGAAAGUGGAAUUCCAUGUGUAGCGGUGAAAUGCGUAGAGAUAUGGAGGAACACCAGUGGCGAAGGCGACUUUCUGGUCUGUAACUGACACUGAGGCGCGAAAGCGUGGGGAGCAAACAGGAUUAGAUACCCUGGUAGUCCACGCCGUAAACGAUGAGUGCUAAGUGUUAGAGGGUUUCCCGCCCUUUAGUGCUGAAGUUAACGCAUUAAGCACUCCGCCUGGGGGAGUACGGGCCGCAAGGCUGAAACUCAAAAGAAUUAGACGGGGGCCCGCACAAGCGGUGGAGCAUGUAGUUUAAUUCCAAGCAACGCGAAGAACCUUACCAGGUCUUGACAUCCUCUGACAACCCUAGAGAUAGGGCUUCUCCUUCGGGAGCAGAGUGACAGGUGGUGCAUGGUUGUCGUCAGCUCGCGUCAUGAGAUGUAGGGUUAAGUCCCGCAACGAGCGCAACCCUGGAUCUUAGUUGCCAUCAUUUAGUUGGGCACUCUAAGGUGACUGCCGGUGACAAACCGGAGGAAGGUGGAGAGUGACGUCAAAUUCAUCAUGCCCCUUAUGAACCGUGGGCGCUACACACGGUGCUUACAAUGGACGGUACAAAGAGCUGCAAGACCGCGAGGUGGAGCUAAUCUCAUAAAACCGUUCUCAGUUCGGAUUGUAGGCUGCAACUCGCCUACAUGAAGCUGGAAUCGCUAGUAAUCGCGGAUCAGCAUGCCGCGGUGAAUACGUUCCCGGGCCUUGUACACACCGCCCGUCACACCACGAGAGUUUGUAACACCCGAAGUCGGUGGGGUAACCUUUUUGGAGCCAGCCGCCUAAGGUGACAGA
rnacentral:rRNA from 1 species